AAGGAAGGUCAAGGCGUUAUCCGGAUUUAUUGGGUUUAAAGGGAGCGUAGGACGUUUGGAAAGCGGGCAGUGAAAUGCAGAGGAUCAACCUCUGACUUGCUGUUCGAACUGCCGGGCUUGAGUACGCACGAGGUAGGCGGAAUUUGUGGUGUAGCGGUGAAAUGCUUAGAUAUCACAAAGAACUCCAAUUGCGAAGGCAGCUUACCGGAGCGCAACUGACGCUGAAGCUCGAAAGUUCGGGUAUCGAUCAG
rnacentral:rRNA from 1 species